rnacentral:sRNA from 1 species
AACUCCCUGGCUGCCGUGAAAAGACAAGGCACUGGGCAGUGAUGAGGGUCCUUCUCCAUCUCCCAGCCCUCCUGGCUUCCCUCGUCUUGCUUCAGGCUGCAGCAUCUGCCACAAGAGAUCCCAGCCUGGACCUGACUUCACUGUCUCUGGAGGUGGGCUGUGGUGCUCCUGCUCCCGUGGUGAGAUGCGACCCGUGCAGCCCUUACCGCACCAUUACGGGAGACUGCAACAACAGGAGGAAGCCUGCGCUGGGCGCCGCCAACAGGGCUCUGGCGCGCUGGCUGCCCGCGGAGUACGAGGACGGGCUCUCCCUGCCCUUCGGCUGGACGCCGGGGAAGACGCGCAACGGCUUCCCUCUCCCGCUGGCCCGGGAGGUAUCUAACAAGAUUGUUGGCUAUCUGAAUGAGGAGGGUGUUCUGGACCAAAACAGGUCCCUGCUCUUCAUGCAGUGGGGUCAGAUUGUGGAUCACGACCUGGACUUUGCCCCUGACACCGAGCUGGGGAGUAGCGAGUACUCCAAAGCCCAGUGUGAUGAGUACUGUAUCCAGGGAGACAACUGCUUCCCCAUUAUGGUAGGGCCCUGCAGCUGGGCGUCUCUGACUAGCCCCCUGCCCACCCUGAUGUAGCAGACAUUCCCAGCUCAUCAGCUAGGAUCUCUGGAUAGAUCUUGGAUACUGAUUUGGUAGUUUCCCAUGCCUCACGUGUCCAUUCAUUCACUCAUCCGUUUAUUCAGUAAAUAGACAUUGACCACCCCAUACCAGGCAGUACACUAAGCGCUGAGGAUUCCAAAGUGAACAGGACACUGCACCUGCUCUCAAGAACAAAGGGCCAGUGUGGGAAUUGGACAAGUAAACUACUGAUAGCAGAAUGGGAACACUGGAGAAGGUUGUCUACAUUCCCGACCCAGCAGCAUUGGUAACACCUGGGAGCUUAUUAGAAAUGUAAAAUCUCAGUUGGGCAAGGUGGCUCAUGCCUAUAAUCCCAGCACUUGGGGAAGCUGAGGUGGACAGAUCACCUGAGGUCAAGAGUUUGAGACCAGCCUGGCCAACAUGGUGAAACCUCAUCUCUACUAAAAAUACAAAAAUUAGCCUGGCGAGGUGGCACAUGCCUGUGGUCCCAGCUACUCAGGAGGUUGAGGCAGGAGAACCGCUUGAACCUGGGAGGCGGAGGUUGCAGUGAGCCGAGAUCACACCACUGCACUCCAGCCUGGGCAACAGAGAGAGACUCCAAUUCAAAAAAGAAA